UGGAUUAAGAGCUUGCUCUUAUGAAGUUAGCGGCGGACGGGUGAGUAACACGUGGGUAACCUGCUCAUAAGACUGGGAUAACUCCGGGAAGCCGGGGCUAAUACCGGAUAAUAUUUUGAACUGCAUGGUUCGAAAUUGAAAGGCGGCUUCGGCUGUCACUUAUAGAUGGAUCCGCGCCGCAUUAGCUAGUUGGUAAGGUAACGGCUUACCAAGGCAACGAUGCGUAGCCGACCUGAGAGGGUGAUCGGCCACACUGGAACUGAGACACGGUCCAGACUCCUACGGGAGGCAGCAGUAGGGAAUCUUCCGCAAUGGGCGAAAGCCUGACGGAGCAACGCCGCGUGAGUGAUGAAGGUCUUCGGAUCGUAAAACUCUGUUAUUAGGGAAGAACAAAUGUGUAAGUAACUAUGCACGUCUUGACGGUACCUAAUCAGAAAGCCACGGCUAACUACGUGCCAGCAGCCGCGGUAAUACGUAGGUGGCAAGCGUUAUCCGGAAUUAUUGGGCGUAAAGCGCGCGUAGGCGGUUUUUUAAGUCUGAUGUGAAAGCCCACGGCUCAACCGUGGAGGGUCAUUGGAAGCUGUAAAACUUGAGUGCAGAAGAGGAAAGUGGAAUUCCAUGUGUAGCGGUGAAAUGCGCAGAGAUAUGGAGGAACACCAGUGGCGAAGGCGACUUUCUGGUCUGUAACUGACGCUGAUGUGCGAAAGCGUGGGGAUCAGACAGGAUUAGAUACCCUGGUAGUCCACGCUCGUAACGAUGAGUGCUAAGUGUUAGGGGGUUUCCGCCC
rnacentral:rRNA from 1 species